ACAUAAGUUUCGUGGUAGAAGGUGGCUUGUAUUUAUACUGGCUAUCACUUGAGGAUGAGCCUGUGGCCUAUCAGCUUGUUGGUGAGGUAAAAGCUCACCAAGGCUAUGACGGGUAGCUGGUCUGAGAGGACGACCAGCCACACUGGGACUGAGACACGGCCCAGACUCCUACGGGAGGCAGCAGUGGGGAAUAUUGGGCAAUGGGCGCAAGCCUGACCCAGCGACGCCGCGUGGGUGAUGAAGGCCUUCGGGUUGUAAAGCCCUGUCAUGUGGGAAGAACUGUCUCGUGGCUAAUAUCCACGGGAAUUGACGGUACCACAGGAGGAAGCACCGGCUAACUCCGUGCCAGCAGCCGCGGUAAUACCGGAGGGUGCUAGCGUUGUUUCGGAAUUAUUUGGGCGUAAAAGGGCGCGUAGGCGGGUAUGUAAAGUCA
rnacentral:rRNA from 1 species